rnacentral:rRNA from 1 species
ACGGCUCAGUAACACGUGGAUAACUGCCCUAAGGUGGAGGAUAACCCCGGGAAACUGGGGAUAAUACUCCAUAGGUUAAAGGUACUGGAAUGUUCUUUAACCGAAAGCUCCGGCGCUUUAGGAUGGAUCUGCGGCCGAUUAGGUUGUUGUUGGGGUAGUGGCCCAACAAGCCUGUAAUCGGUACGGGUUGUGGGAGCAAGAGCCCGGAGAUGGAAUCUGAGACACGAUUCCAGGCCCUACGGGGCGCAGCAGGCGCGAAAACUUUACAAUGCAGGAAACUGUGAUAAGGGAACCCCGAGUGCCCGUAUAUGCGGGCUGUCCGGAUGUUUAAAACGCAUCCGAAGAAAGGGCCGGGCAAGACCGGUGCCAGCCGCCGCGGUAAUACCGGCGGCUCGAGUGGUGGCCACUUUUAUUGGGCUUAAAGCGUUCGUAGCUUGAAUAAUAAGUCUCUUGGGAAAUCUGCAGGCUUAACCUGCAGGCGUUUAAGAGAAACUGUUGUUCUAGGAACCGGAAGAGGUGAGAGGUACUCCGGGGGUAGGAGUGAAAUCCUGUAAUCCCCGGGGGACCACCGAUGGCGAAGGCAUCUCACCAGGACGGCUUCGACAGUGAGGAACGAAAGCUGGGGGAGCGAACCGGAUUAGAUACCCGGGUAGUCCCAGCCGUAAACGAUGUGCGUUAGGUGUGCCGGUGACCACGAGUCACUGGGGUGCCGAAGGGAAACCGUGAAACGUACCGCCUGGGAAGUACGGUCGCAAGGCUGAAACUUAAAGGAAUUGGCGGGGGAGCACAAGGG